rnacentral:lncRNA from 1 species
CAAAGAUCCCAUUUCCAAAUAAGGUCAUAUCCACAAGUGCCAGGGCUUAAGACUUGAACAUGUCCUAUGGGGGACACACAACAACAUAUAAUUCACAGCGAACAGAGCACAGGCUUCAGAGUGGGUCAGACCUGGGUGCUGCCAUUUAGCCUGUCCCUUCUGCUUGGCACAGUGAGGUUGGAAAGAUGUGUCAGAACUGUGACGCUGAAUCCGGAGCCCCAACCUCUCCUAGCCUCCUAGAGGAGGAUGACCCAGGACCCUUGUCCUCCCAACAGCAGGCCACCAGUUCAAGGGACAAGAAGCCCCUAAGCUCCCUCCACCUUUCACAUAGGGCCCAGGUGGCCUUGGAGUACCUGCCUUUCUUCUGCACCUAUGGGUGCCUCCUGGAAGAGGAGGGGUUGGUCCUGCAGCCCAAGACACCGCUCCAGGAGGACUCAGAACUGCUCAGUGGGUUCUUCCCUUACUACCGCUCUGAGGAGGAGAGUUUGCCCAGCCUGGCCCUUCCUGGCUGGUCACACAGGGGCUCCCAAGAUCUGCCCACUGAGAAGGAGGCACGGGCUGGCUGCUUCUGCAGGACAACAGUCAGGGACGAAUGCUCUACUCUAACAGGCCCCUGGACAGGCCCCUCUCAGGGCUGCUGCGGCCCUUGGAGCAAGGUGUCACUGGUUGGGAGCACAGACACUGCAGGAAGACUGUCCUGUUCAAGCCCAGCUUGACCACCUGCUAGGAGAGCGGCCUGGGGAACGUGGUUUCCUUAUAAAAGAGAGAACAGCAGCAGCAACAAUAAAGCCAUUGUGAGAAUUACA